UAGGGAAUAUUGGUCAAUGGUGGGAACACUGAACCAGCCAUUCCGCGUGCAGGAAGAAGGGUCUCUGACUUGUAAACUGCUUUAGCAAGGGAAGAAAAAGCUCAUGCGUGAGAAAUUGACGGUACCUUGAGAAUAAGCACCGGCUAACUACGUGCCAGCAGCCGCGGUAAUACGUAGGGUGCAAGCGUUGUCCGGAUUUAUUGGGUUUAAAGGGUGCGUAGGCGGCUCACUAAGUCAGUGUUAAAAUUUUGCGGCUCAACCGUAAGUCUGGCAUUGAUACUGGUAAGCUUGAGUAUAUGUGAGGUAGGCGGAAUUGAUAGUGUAGCGGUGAAAUGCAUAGAUAUUAUCAAGAACUCCGAUAGCGAAGGCAGCUUACUGAUGUAUAACUGACGCUGAGGCACGAAAGUGUGGGGAUCAAACA
rnacentral:rRNA from 1 species